rnacentral:tRNA from 1 species
AGCGGGUUAGUGUAAAAGUAACAUAUUUGGCUCAUGCCCAAAAGUUGAGGGUGCGAUUCCUUUACCCGCGU